rnacentral:lncRNA from 1 species
UGGUUCUAUCUCUUUCAUCUAUUAUUCGAGGAAUAUCAGCAUCCCUUCCUUCUUGAUGUAAUGGUUCUAUCUCCUUUUUCUCAAGGUUCUCUUAAUUUCUGGAUCAAAAGAAUACUCUUCAAUUGCAAAAUAUCUCUAUUCAUUCACCAACCCAAAAUCCUAAAAACCAAAAAAAAAAAUCAAGCAACUAAUUAAGCUAAACUACUAAAAUUAAAGAGAUAAUAACAUACCAAAUUUUUUUCACCAAAAUUGUG